rnacentral:rRNA from 1 species
AUUGAACGCUGGCGGCAGGCCUAACACAUGCAAGUCGAGCGGAUGAAGGGAGCUUGCUCCUGGAUUCAGCGGCGGACGGGUGAGUAAUGCCUAGGAAUCUGCCUGGUAGUGGGGGAUAACGUCCGGAAACGGGCGCUAAUACCGCAUACGUCCUGAGGGAGAAAGUGGGGGAUCUUCGGACCUCACGCUCUCAGAUGAGCCUAGGCCGGAUUAGCUAGUUGGUGGGGUAAAGGCCUACCAAGGCGACGAUCCGUAACUGGUCUGAGAGGAUGAUCAGUCACACUGGAACUGAGACACGGUCCAGACUCCUACGGGAGGCAGCAGUGGGGAAUAUUGGACAAUGGGCGAAAGCCUGAUCCAGCCAUGCCGCGUGUGUGAAGAAGGUCUUCGGAUUGUAAAGCACUUUAAGUUGGGAGGAAGGGCAGUAAGUUAAUACCUUGCUGUUUUGACGUUACCAACAGAAUAAGCACCGGCUAACUUCGUG